GUUCAAAUAGUUUAAAAGAACAGAGCUCUGAAGAAGCUAAGGGGGGAUAGUCCUUUGAACA
rnacentral:tRNA from 1 species